UACGUAGGUGGCAAGCGUUGUCCGGAAUUACUGGGCGUAAAGGGCGCGUAGGCGGCACCUUAAGUCAGAUGUGAAAACCCAGGGCUUAACUUUGGGACUGCAUUUGAAACUGAGGAGCUAGAGUGCCGGAGAGGAAAGCGGAAUUCCUAGUGUAGCGGUGAAAUGCGUAGAUAUUAGGAGGAACACCAGUAGCGAAGGCGGCUUUCUGGACUGUAACUGACACUGAGGCACGAAAGCGUGGGGAGCAAAC
rnacentral:rRNA from 1 species